rnacentral:misc_RNA from 1 species
CCGUUCGUCGCCAUCGCCAAUGGAUUGCGCGAACGCGGCUAUUCGGCGCCCGCGAUCCAUCAUGCCGACCUGGAUAAAGGCUUUCUCAUCACCGAGGACUUCGGCCGCGCCACCUUCGUUGAAGGCGAUCCGCCCAAACCGAUCGUCGAACGCUACCAGACCGCGGUCGAUAUGCUGGCGGCGUUUCAUCGCGAGCAAUUGCCGGACGUGCUGCCUCUCGCGCCGCACCUCGAUUACGUCAUCCCGCCGUUCGACGACGACGC